AUGAAAUUAUUGUCCUUUAACUACCAAGCAACGAGGUUGCUAGGAGUAUUGAUUUCACACAUCACAAUUCUUUUGUCGGUAUUCCGGUUGCAUCAACACGAAGACCGAGGAAUGACUAAUGAUGGUGAGAAGUAUCACUACGUUAAAAUUCAUGAGAGUUGGUGCAGUUCUCAUGACAAUUCUGACAUAAAGGGGGUAAUACUCCAAGGUAGAACAGAACCAAAAGCUGGAUUGGCAUUUGAUCUGCGGAAUACAACUGUUAAGACCCAAUCCUGGGUAUGGAUGAGGUACUGGAGUUUGUUUCUCCUAGUCAUUCCGGAAUAG
rnacentral:rRNA from 1 species